rnacentral:rRNA from 1 species
UACGAAGGGUGCAAGCGUUACUCGGAAUCACUGGGCGUAAAGCGUGCGUAGGCGGUCCGUCACGUCGGCUGUGAAAACCUGGGCUCAACCCGGGCCUGCAGCCGAUACGGGCGGACUAGAAUUCGGUAGGGGAGACUGGAAUUCCUGGUGUAGCGGUGAAGAUGCGCAGAUAUCAGGAGGAACACCGGUGGCGAAGGCGGGUCUCUGGGCCGAUAUUGACGCUGAGGAGCGAAAGCGUGGGGAGCGAACAGG